rnacentral:tRNA from 1 species
GGCUCCUUGGUCAAGCGGUUAAGACACCGCCCUUUCACGGCGGUAACACGGGUUCGAGUCCCGUAGGAGGUUC